UCCUCGGUGGCGCAAUUGGCUAGCGCGUCGUAAGUUAUACCUUAAAUAAACGUAGGUGAUAUACCUAGUGUUCUAACAAUAUUCUAGUGACUGUUAAUCAGGAGGUUGAAAGUUCGAGCCUUUCCCGGGGAG